rnacentral:lncRNA from 1 species
AUGUUGGUUUUGUCCAGGAUAACUACAAAAAAGCCCCUCUGUGUCCAUUUGCAAAGAAGCUCUGUCUUCUCGGCCUUCGGAAUGAGAAAUUGGUAUCUGACAAAUUCAGGGUGUAUCCCAGCAGGAGGGACUAGGGGGAACUGCUGCUCUGCAAUCUUGGCCACAGCUUGCUUUGAAAAACUGGGGGAGGCGGACUUCAAAGAAACAAUUCAAGAUCUUUGAGUCUAAAAUGCACUGUUCAGAGAUGGCCUUCAUUAGCUUUGUGCUGUAAGUAAAAUACACUCACUAAAAGGUACGCUAGGCAGCGGAAAUAUGUGGAAAUACGUUUUCUCUCUUUAAUAGUAAUUCUGAGUCAAGCACAGGGUAAGGGAAGAAAAAGCUCCCAGUGUAGGUACCUGUGAGGGAAAACAAAGAACUCUGAGUGCAGGACUCUGCUCUUGGCAGUAUUUUUUAUUACAUACUUGGCCUACAGCAAAAAUGUCUCUUCCUUAUACAAACAACUCCAGGGAGAGCUCCUAGUGAGCCUACAUAAUGGUGACACAAAUUAGAGCAAGAACACUUCUUAAAGCUCCAUGAGCCUCCAAAAGAUUAAAUGUGUGUUACCUCUGGGUACUUAAUUUGGGGAUUCAUUUUAUUUAUUGUUUUGAAAAUGAAGGAAUGCAUUUCAUAGAAUCAUUUAGGUUGGAAAAGUCCCUUGGGAUCAUCGAGGCCAACCAUCAACCCUACUCUACGAAGUUCUCCCCUAUAAGCAGGGGAAAACUCUCCCCUAUUUCCCUCAUAAGCAGCUGUUUUCGUGAAAAUACGUGAUGGUUUGGAUGGCAAGAGUUUGCAAAAAGUGAAGAGAGCUGGUACAGAUGAAUGGUAGUGCUGUCCUUGUUCAGGAAAGGUAAGGUAACUGUGUACCUAGAAAAUGAAAGAGAGUUACUAGCUGAAGAGAAGAGCUGUUGCAAGUGCUCGUACUAUGCUGUAUCUCCUCAGCAGAUUGGAUUUCUGCAUCUCCCAGGCUAAACAAGAAACUUAAGCAGCCCAAAAGCUGCCUGGGGCAGCCUGGCCUGCUCUAUUUAUAGUCCUUCCUCCUCUUGCUGAAGACUGGCACCUUGCCUCUGCAGCCUGGCAGCCAAAGAACUUAAGCGUGUUCUAAAUAAAUUCAUAACGCGUCAGAGAUGAAGCGCA